GGCUGGGCCGUGGGGAUCAGGCCCUUCCCAGCGGGCGGCACUGGCAGCCGAGCAGGCCUCACGCCCCCCUGACGGCCGGGGCGGCCGCGGCCCUUCGCGGAGCCGCCUCGGGCCGCUCCGUCGGGCCCCGCCGCCUCACUCCAAACGCGGGCCCGCAGCUCCCUCUGGCGGCGCCGGCCGGGAGGCCGAGCGGGGCCGCCGCCCUCACGGCCCGGCUGCUCCGGGGCUGCGCCGGGAGAGCUGCUGCGGGGCUUUAAACGUCUUUGCAGUGACAUUGUCAUCAGAGCCGGCAGGGAUCGCCCUUGAAGGACCGCGCUGACCUGCCCUUGGCAGAGCCCCGAGCGGCGUGAGACGCGCUCUGCACAACGAGCCCGCCGCCUUUUGGGAUAGCCCACAACGCCCAGGGUCUGUCUUGUAUCAGCCCUGCGUGGGCCCGAGGCGCCGGGAAUCUGUUCUCUGCCAGCUGAGCGGUCCCAUCAGCUGCUGGGGGCAAGUUAUAAGAACUUGUAAAGAUCGGAUCUUUCUCCUUCCGCACAGUCCUCCAAGAUAAAGUACAGUGAUUUUUAAAAGAGGCGUUCUUCAUUCUGAAGAGGAGCAGAAGAGUUUGUCCUGCAUGUUGCUCCAUGUCAGGGUGGCUCAGGUGCCCUUGUGAGAGCAGAGAUCACUGCUCUUUGCACUGGGCCACUCUGAGACUAGCACAAUUAACAGGACCAUCUGUGAAACAUUUUUCUCCUUCUGGGAUGGACUGUGGAAAGAGCAUGGAAGGUCUCCCAGCUCUUGAGAGAACCAGCCUGUACUCAUGCUGCAAAGAUAACAUUGCUGAAGUGUCAUCCAGAUGGCUAUGGAAGGAAGAAAGCAUCUUAUUGGGAGGGGAGGGGCAGAUUUGUGUCUGCAGAGCCCAGUUCUGUGGCAAGUGGGGCCAUUGGCCAUUCC
rnacentral:lncRNA from 1 species